UCCAUUCCUAUUUUCCACUCCGAUAAAUCCUUCUUAUUAUUAUUUUGCAGAUUUUCUCCUUCUCCCUUUUCUCCUCCAUUCUCCUCAAACAGUCUUUUUCUUCUUUUUCGGAUCUUGGACCAUAGCUCUUCCAAUGAAUAGGUAAACACGAUCUUACUUGAUGACCAAAUAAGAUCUCAUUUGGUGAUCUUCCAUCUGCCUUUUGAGUGUUUCGAAACUCCAGAAUUCCAUGUAAGAAUUAAUCAGAACUACAUUUUCCUCCUGUUUUCACAAAUAGAUUCUUCAUACAUUUCACCGAACUCUCAGCAUGUCUAUUACUUUGCGGAAAAUGGGGCGAAGAAGGUCCCCAUGUUACACCCCCACAUCUUUAAGAAUGUCUAACAUUCCCUGAAACUAAACUAAAUCUGUUCUUAUUUUCAUAUAUAUGUCUUAAUGUCACUUCUCCCGUUGAUGGAUCUCUUUUAAAUUCCUAUACAUAAGGAUAUCCUGAAAGACAAUUUCCAUAUACCACGUACUGUUUUCCUCCAUACUCAAACAAAUCUGCAGACGUGCUCUCAAAUGGUCUCGUUGGUAUCGGUCCCUCAUCAUGGUUUCUUUUUGUAAACUAGGCCAAUAAAUCGUCUGCCUAGCUCUUCUUUUCGUCAUCUCGAUACCUUGAUGUGAACUGUGCAAUCCCUGAAGAACUUGAACUUGCCUCUCUUUUGGAAUAAACAGCCUAUUACCAUAUAAAAAAGAUCAUUUUUAGUACUUAAAUCAUUUAAUAUCUUGGGAAAUGGAUGUACUGAAUCGUUUAUACACUUGUCUUCAACUGCAUUGACUAAAUCCUUAUAUAUUU
rnacentral:lncRNA from 1 species